rnacentral:rRNA from 1 species
GUUAUUAAGGGUGCAGGGCGGAUGCCUUGGCAAUAA